rnacentral:lncRNA from 1 species
AUAUUGGUGGAAAUAGCAGUUAUUGGUAUGAUUGAAUUGCUGUAAGGAAGAGACCGAUAAGGUGAAGGAGGAGAUUAUAGUUUCAUUGUAUGUUCAGAUAUUAGAAAUAGAGACGAUACAUUCAGGAGGUAAUUGAUUGUAUGACUCUAAUGUCAACGCUUAAGCAACUAGUCAUUCCCCAUAUUCAAAUCCCCCUAUAUGAGUUUAUUCUCAUUAGAUUAAUUUGGAAUAAGUAAAACGAGUAAUCAUAGUUGUUCUUAAACUUGAAUUUAGAAUUAUCACAAGACUUAGAAGAAGUAUUCUUAAUGUCAUGAAUAAGAGAGUUAGAGGAUAUACUUGAUUGAAUUUGCUUAAAUAAAAUUGAAUCAAUAGU